rnacentral:sRNA from 2 species
AUGUUGAGCGUGAAGGAUAACGUUGCGUCAGCAACGGCCCGUAGGGCGAGGCGAAGCCGAGUCAUCCUGCACGACCCACCA